UGGGAUAAGCCUGGGAAACUGGGUCUAAUACUGGAUACGACCGAUCUCCGCAUGGAGUGUUGGUGGAAAGUUUUUGUGGUGGGGGAUGGACUCGCGGCCUAUCAGCUUGUUGGUGGGGUAAUGGCCUACCAAGGCGACGACGGGUAGCCGGCCUGAGAGGGCGACCGGCCACACUGGGACUGAGACACGGCCCAGACUCCUACGGGAGGCAGCAGUGGGGAAUAUUGCACAAUGGGCGAAAGCCUGAUGCAGCGACGCCGCGUGAGGGAUGACGGCCUUCGGGUUGUAAACCUCUUUCACCAGGGACGAAGCUAACGUGACGGUACCUGGAGAAGAAGCACCGGCUAACUACGUGCCAGCAGCCGCGGUAAUACGUAGGGUGCGAGCGUUGUCCGGAAUUAUUGGGCGUAAAGAGCUUGUAGGCGGUUUGUCGCGUCUGCUGUGAAAGACCGGGGCUUAACUCCGGUUCUGCAGUGGGUACGGGCAGACUAGAGUGUGGUAGGGGAGACUGGAAUUCCUGGUGUAGCGGUGAAAUGCGCAGAUAUCAGGAGGAACACCGAUGGCGAAGGCAGGUCUCUGGGCCAUUACUGACGCUGAGAAGCGAAAGCAUGGGGAGCGAACAGGAUUAGAUACCCUGGUAGUCCAUGCCGUAAACGUUGGGCGCUAGGUGUGGGACUCAUUCCACGAGUUCCGUGCCGCAGCUAACGCAUUAAGCGCCCCGCCUGGGGAGUACGGCCGCAAGGCUAAAACUCAAAGGAAUUGACGGGGGCCCGCACAAGCGGCGGAGCAUGCGGAUUAAUUCGAUGCAACGCGAAGAACCUUACCAAGGCUUGACAUACACCGGAAUCAUGCAGAGAUGUGUGCGUCUUCGGACUGGUGUACAGGUGGUGCAUGGUUGUCGUCAGCUCGUGUCGUGAGAUGUUGGGUUAAGUCCCGCAACGAGCGCAACCCUCGUUCCAUGUUGCCAGCACUUCGGGUGGGGACUCAUGGGAGACUGCCGGGGUCAACUCGGAGGAAGGUGGGGAUGACGUCAAAUCAUCAUGCCCCUUAUGUCUUGGGCUUCACGCAUGCUACAAUGGCCGGUACAGAGGGUUGCGAAACCGUGAGGUGGAGCUAAUCCCAAAAAACCGGUCUCAGUUCGGAUUGGGGUCUGCAACU
rnacentral:rRNA from 1 species